GCGCCGCGAGCCCCGGCGGGGGCGAGGCCGCGGGCAAGGAGGGGCCCGAGUGGGCUCUCCUCGGAGCUGCGGGGCAGGCGGCAGCGGCCAGGGAGGGGACUCGGAGCCGAGGGCAGGGGAGACCCCCUCCGCGGGGUAGCGGUAUUUCUGUGUCCCCCAUCAUCGUAUCUGAAUACCUUGCUGUCUUCAGUGCAUUUAUCCUCACAACACCCCUACCAGGUAGGGAAGCACUGGUAUCCCCAUUUUAUAGAUGUGGAACUGAAGCAUGGAAAGACCAGGUGACUUGCCCAGGAUGUUUGUAGUGGACCAGGAUUUGAACCCAGGUUUCCCGCAACCCAGCUGAGGACACUAAUCACAAAAUCGUCUUUCCUCUCCUCAGCUUAGCAGUUGCUGCUGCUCAUCCCAGGUCUUGAUAUCAACUUGGUUCCACCCAGUCUAUGGUUGUGAUGCAGGCCCAACAGCAGAGCUUCACCUGGUGAACAUCACCUUCAAGUACUGCACAAAGCCAGCUAUUUCUGAUCCAGCAGCUAUACACAAUGUUACAGACUCUGAAAUCUAUGCCAGGAUGAGAGAGACCCCAAAAACACUCCACAAUUUCAUUUUGAGUGUACAUCCACAGUCUCAGAUUAGACUACUGGAGCAUAAAGAUUCCAUGACACAGAAAUAGUGUGUGGAGAUAAUCAGCUCUGUAACCAGGAUUAUGAACAAAGGGACUGGGGAUUUUUUAUUUAAAUCUACAAAAAAGGUGGAAUUCCCUUCUGUAAUUCCUAUAUAGCUACUAAUAUCACCUCAUAUAUUUUAGUUUUAUUUCAACAUUUUCUUUUAGUGGAGGGGAAAGAAAAUAGUUUUUGUAAAUACCCAUUUUCA